AGUCGAUUCGAUUUACCUUCGGGUAUUGAGGAUGGCGGACGGGUGAGUAAGCGUAAGGAACUUGCCUCUUGGACUGGGACAACUGUUGGAAACGACAGCUAAUACCGGAUAUUAUGAGAUUCUCGCAUGAGAAACUUAUGAAAGCUAUAUGCGCCAAGAGAGAGCCUUGCGUUCCAUUAGCUAGUUGGUGGGGUAAUGGCCCACCAAGGCGACGAUGGAUAGCCGGCCUGAGAGGGUGAACGGCCACAAGGGGACUGAGACACGGCCCUUACUCCUACGGGAGGCAGCAGUGGGGAAUAUUGGACAAUGGGCCACAAGCCUGAUCCAGCAAUUCUGUGUGCACGAUGAAGGUCUUCGGAUUGUAAAGUGCUUUCAGUUGGGAAGAAGAAAGUGACGGUACCAACAGAAGAAGCGACGGCUAAAUACGUGCCAGCAGCCGCGGUAAUACGUAUGUCGCAAGCGUUAUCCGGAUUUAUUGGGCGUAAAGCGCGUCUAGGCGGAAAAAUAAGUCUGAUGUUAAAAUGCGGGGUCACUCCGUAUUGCGUUGGAAACUGUUUUUCUA
rnacentral:rRNA from 1 species